CCAACGGCCCUCUUUAGGGCCACAAUUAUUCUAAUCCAACGAAUU
rfam:Caenorhabditis tropicalis strain JT1373 unplaced genomic scaffold Scaffold629, whole genome shotgun sequence.